GUGUGCUCACACGCCGAGGGAGAGGAGGCAGGGCUAGAGGAUGGAGGAUGCAGCCUGGAGCCGGUGCCCUGAUCCCCCUCCUCCUCUUGCUCCUCCUCAUCACCGUUUUCGUGCCUCCCCCCUCCGAUACUGCAGUGUUCACCGGACAACUUGAUUUUGAGUAAGGGACGUAGCUUGUAGUCUUCCAAGAGGGCCUGGGCUGUCUGCUUGCCUGUCUUUUUCACCACCGCUUUGAUGCCCAGGUUGUCGAUGUUGAAGGCGGUGACGCCCAUGUUGAUGGCCGAGUUGACGGCGUGAUCUGUGGCCUGGCCUGCCGCCGCUCCGUACCUUUUGAUCAGAGCAAAACGUUGCAUUUGCCAAAAGGCAAUGGAUGAGCUAUUGUUGCUUGCCAGGGGAACCACUCUCCAAUCACUAUCCACGAGUCUGGCAAAACAGGCACUGCCACCAGAAGAGUCUGCCUCAUGCUUGGAGACAUAAAGAGUGAUGACGUCCUUCCUACAUAUUCUUCCACUCGGCACACAUAAUUCCAGUCUAUUUUCAUUGUGAUAAAGUGGGGCAGAAACCCACCACAUCAAGCAAACAGAUCUAUGGUGAAAGAAAAGUUGCUUUGUGAGACAGGUGACAGUUGCCACAGACAGGCAUCUACAGGACUGUUUGUGAUUGUUUGGCCAACUAGCGGCAAUUGAAGUUAUCUUUGUGGCAAAAUGGUAAUAAAGCUGUGUAGGUAUGCCUACUGACGUGGCCAAUGAGUUUACUCCUUAUACCUGUACACAAUUGUGUAUGUUAGGUACAGUACCUGUAGGAAAGCUUGUGGUCUAUCAGGCAUCCUCUCAGAGUGAUCGCUGGCAAAUCUGACCAG